rnacentral:rRNA from 1 species
ACUCAAAUGAAUUGACGGGGGCCCGCACAAGCGGUGGAGCGUGUGGUUUAAUUCGAUGGUAAGCGAGGAACCUUACCAGGGCUUGAAAUCUAGCUGCAUACCUUUAGAAACAUUGGUAGCCUUCGAGGGUGCUAGACAGGUGCUGCACGGUUGUCGUCAGCUCGUGGCGUGAGCUGUUCCCUUCAGUGGGGUAACGAGCGCAACCCUUAUGAUGUGUUACCUCUCACAUCAGACUGCCGUGGUUAACACGGAGGAAGGUGGGGAUGACGUCAAAUCAGCGUGGUCCUCUGACGCCCUGGGCGACACACGCGCUACAAUGGUUAGGACAAUGGGUCUUGCGAAUCCGCGAGGAGGAGCUAAUCUUAUAAACCUAAUCUCAGUUCGGAUUGGAGGCUGCAACUCGCCUCCAUGAAGCUGGAAUCGCUAGUAACCGUAGAUCAGCCACGCUACGGUGAAUACGUUCUCGGGCUUUGUACACACCGCCCGU